rnacentral:rRNA from 1 species
UACGGGGGGGCAAGCGUUGUUCGGAAUUACUGGGCGUAAAGGGCGCGUAGGCGGCCUGAUAAGUCGGGGGUGAAAUCCUGUGGCUUAACCACAGGGCUGCCUCCGAGACUGUCGGGCUCGAGCACAGUAGAGGCAGGUGGAAUUCCCGGUGUAGCGGUGGAAUGCGUAGAGAUCGGGAAGAAUAUCGGUGGCGAAGGCGGCCUGCUGGGCGUGUUGCUG